UGGGGAAUUUUGGACAAUGGGCGAAAGCCUGAUCCAGCAAUGCCGCGUGUGUGAAGAAGGCCUUCGGGUUGUAAAGCACUUUUGUCCGGAAAGAAAUCCUCUGGGUUAAUACCUCGGGGGGAUGACGGUACCGGAAGAAUAAGCACCGGCUAACUACGUGCCAGCAGCCGCGGUAAUACGUAGGGUGCAAGCGUUAAUCGGAAUUACUGGGCGUAAAGCGUGCGCAGGCGGUUUUGUAAGACGGAUGUGAAAUCCCCGGGGCUUAACCUGGGAACUGCAUUCGUGACUGCAAGGCUAGAGUAUGGCAGAGGGGGGUAGAAUUCCACGUGUAGCAGUGAAAUGCGUAGAGAUGUGGAGGAAUACCGAUGGCGAAGGCAGCCCCCUGGGCCAAUACUGACGCUCAUGCACGAAAGCGUGGGGGAGCAAACAGGAUUAGGAUACCCUGGUAGUCCACGCCCUAAACGAUGUCAACUAGUUGUUGGGGAUUCAUUUCCUUAGUAACGUAGCUAACGCGUGAAGUUGACCGCCUGGGGAGUACGGUCGCAAGAUUAAAACUCAAAUGAAUUGACGGGGUCAUAGCUGUUUCCU
rnacentral:rRNA from 1 species